UAAGGCCACAGCAAUACACUGAACAAUCCUUUUCUUUAUUCAUUUUUUAAAAUCAUUUCAAUAUGUCCGUCAGGGUUUUUUUUUUUUUUUAAGAUUUUAUUUUAAAUUAAAAUCUGACACACUUAUAAAAGACAGCAUCUGCAUAGAGUUGUCAUCUUAAAGAUCAAUGAAGAAAGAGAGAGAGAGAGAGAGAGAGAGAGAGAGAGAGAGAGAGAGAGAGAGAGAGAGAGAGAGA